rnacentral:lncRNA from 1 species
AGGAAGUUUAUAUUGGGGGUUUUUCUAUUGCAUGUAAAUUAUUUGUCCAUUUCAAAUAGGACCAAUGAUAUCAUGAGGUGAUAUAUUGAACUGGAUUUAAAUGAGGCAAAGUUGCUCAAAGUAAGCCAUAUUCUCUCUUCCAGAGUCAUCCAUGUCCAGUGGCAAGACAAUGGCCUAUAACAUUGUGUUGGUGAACCUAUGGCAUACAUGCCAGAGGGGCUGCUCCCUUCCUCUUCUCCUCUAUGCCUGAGGACAUUUCUCACAUCACCCACUCCUCUGCCAGCAGAGAGGGAGUGUUUCCUCUCUCUCCUGUCUCAGACAGGCCCGAGCAGAAGGAUUUUCCUGUACAUAUGAUAAAAAGAAAAUAAAAAACCCACUACACUGCCUUCCUUGAGAGCC